GAUCUAUCGGCCCCGUUCUCUCUCCUCGCCGUAGAGGAGCUGGGAGUGUCGGCAGCGGCGGCGGCAGCGGAUGAUCGGCGAAGAGCGGCUGCGGUGGUGGCGGGGUGAUCGAUGUUGGUGUGGCACUGGGUGGAGCGCGGGAUCGGCAGCAUCAGCGCGGGGAUCUGGGCGUCGGCAGCCGGCGGCGGGCGCUGGCAUGUCGGGGUAGCCAUCGGUGUGACGGCCAUGGCCGGACUCGCCUUGGCCGCCACGCUCGUCGUC
rnacentral:misc_RNA from 1 species